AGUGCAAAUUCACCACGGGCCCGUAUCGAUGCGACGACACAUCCUCCAGUUCGACCGGUCCGGAGGGAGGCGACCGAGACGCCUC
rnacentral:ribozyme from 1 species